rnacentral:rRNA from 1 species
UACAGAGGUCUCAAGCGUUGUUCGGAUUCAUUGGGCGUAAAGGGUGCGUAGGCGGCGCGGUAAGUCGGGUGUGAAAUCUCGGGGCUUAACUCCGAAACUGCAUUCGAUACUGCCGUGCUUGAGGACUGGAGAGGAGACUGGAAUUUACGGUGUAGCGGUGAAAUGCGUAGAUAUCGUAAGGAAGACCAGUGGCGAAAGCAGGUAUCUGGGCCAUCACUGACGCUGAGCUGCGAAAGCUAGGGGAGCAAACAGG